rnacentral:rRNA from 1 species
GACGAACGCUGGCGGCGUGCUUAACACAUGCAAGUCGUACGGUAAGGCCCUUUCGGGGGUACACGAGUGGCGAACGGGUGAGUAACACGUGAGUAACCUGCCCACAACUUUGGGAUAACGCUAGGAAACUGGUGCUAAUACUGGAUAUGUGCUCCUGCUUCAUGGUGGGGGUUGGAAAGCUCCGGCGGUUGUGGAUGGACUCGCGGCCUAUCAGCUUGUUGGUGGGGUAGUGGCCUACCAAGGCGGCGACGGGUAGCCGGCCUGAGAGGGUGACCGGCCACAUUGGGACUGAGAUACGGCCCAGACUCCUACGGGAGGCAGCAGUGGGGAAUAUUGAACAAUGGGCGCAAGCCUGAUGCAGCAACGCCGCGUGCGGGAUGACGGCCUUCGGGUUGUAAACCGCUUUCAGCAGGGACGAAGCUUUUUGUGACGGUACCUGCAGAAGAAGCACCGGCUAACUACGUG